UACGGAAGGUGCGAGCGUUAAUCGGAAUUACUGGGCGUACAGCGCGCGUGGGUGGUUUGUUAAGUUGGAUGUGAAAGCCCCGGGCUCAACCUGGGAACUGCAUCCAUAACUGGCUAGCUAGAGUACGGUAGAGGGUGGUGGAAUUUCCUGUGUAGCGGUGAAAUGCGUAGAUAUAGGAAGGAACACCAGUGGCGAAGGCGACCACCUGGACUGAUACUGACACUGAGGUGCGAAAGCGUGGGUAGCAAACAGG
rnacentral:misc_RNA from 1 species